rnacentral:lncRNA from 1 species
CAGGAAUCGAACCUUGGUCCUCUGCAAAAGCAGUGAGUGCUCUUAACUACUGAGCCAUCUCAGCAAGGCCUAUAGAUUCCUGUGUGCUCAUGUUUCCUGUGUAAACCAAUCAGAAGGCACCUUGGCAAAGACAGAUCUUUACAGCAUACAAAAAGAUUAUUCCACAACAGUGGAUGCUAUUCCUGUUAUUUGGAAUGGGCUUCUGGUUAUUCAAUGGACUUCUCUGUGUUCAAGAUUCACCACGCACAGCUCUGCCCUCACCUGAAAGCCACU